GACGAACGCUGGCGGCGUGCUUAACACAUGCAAGUCGAACGGUAAGGCCCUUCGGGGUACACGAGUGGCGAACGGGUGAGUAACACGUGGGUGAUCUGCCCUGCACUUCGGGAUAAGCCUGGGAAACUGGGUCUAAUACCGGAUAGAACCACUGCCUGCAUGGGUGGUGGUGGAAAGCUUUUGCGGUGUGGGAGGGGCCCGCGGCCUAUCAGCUUGUUGGUGGGGUGAUGGCCUACCAGGGCGCCGACGGGUAGCCGGCCUGAGAGGGUGACCGGCCACACUGGGACUGAGAUACGGCCCAGACUCCUACGGGAGGCAGCAGUGGGGAAUAUUGCACAAUGGGCGCAAGCCUGAUGCAGCGACGCCGCGUGAGGGAUGACGGCCUUCGGGUUGUAAACCUCUUUCAGCACCGACGAAGCGCAAGUGACGGUAGGUGCAGAAGAAGGACCGGCCAACUACGUGCCAGCAGCCGCCGUAA
rnacentral:rRNA from 1 species